GAUGAACGCUGGCGGCGUGCCUAAUACAUGCAAGUCGAACGAAACUUCUUUAUCACCGAGUGCUUGCACUCACCGAUAAAGAGUUGAGUGGCGAACGGGUGAGUAACACGUGGGCAACCUGCCCAAAAGAGGGGGAUAACACUUGGAAACAGGUGCUAAUACCGCAUAACCAUAGUUACCGCAUGGUAACUAUGUAAAAGGUGGCUAUACUACCGCUUUUGGAUGGGCCCGCGGCGCAUUAGCUAGUUGGUAGGGUAAAGGCUUACCAAGGCAAUGAUGCGUAGCCGAAUUGAGAGGUUGAUCGGCCACAUUGGGACUGAGACACGGCCCAAACUCCUACGGGAGGCAGCAGUAGGGAAUCUUCCACAAUGGGCGAAAGCCUGAUGGAGCAACGCCGCGUGGGUGAAGAAGGUCUUCGGAUCGUAAAACCCUGUUGUUAGAGAAGAAAGUGCGUGAGAGUAACUGUUCACGUUUCGACGGUAUCUAACCAGAAAGCCACGGAUAACUACGUG
rnacentral:rRNA from 1 species